AUGGCGCAGCUGAUGGACAAGGCCAAGGGGUUCGUGGCCGAGAAGAUAUCGGGGGUGCAGAAGCCGGAGGCGGACCUGUCGGACAUGUCGGUGCAGCACGUUGGCCGCGACGGCGCCACCCUGUCCGGCCGCCUCGACGUGCGCAACCCCUACUCGCACACCAUCCCCAUCUGCGAGAUCAGCUACUCCCUCAAGAGCGCCGGCCGCGACGUGGCCUCCGGGACCAUGCCGGACCCGGGGUCGCUGGUGGCCAGCGACACCACCAGCCUCGACAUACCGGUGAAGGUGCCGUACGACUUCCUGAUGAGCCUGGUGAAGGACGCCGGCAAGGACUGGGACCUCGACUACGAGAUGCGCGUCGGCCUCACCGUCGACCUCCCCAUCGUCGGCAACUUCACGCUGCCGCUCACCAAGGCCGGCGAGCUCAAGCUCCCCACGCUCUCCGACCUGUUCUAA
rnacentral:rRNA from 1 species